UACGGUAAAAUAUUCAUCUGA
rnacentral:siRNA from 1 species